GACGAACGCUGGCGGCGUGCUUAACACAUGCAAGUCGAACGGAAAGGCCCUGCUUUUGUGGGGUGCUCGAGUGGCGAACGGGUGAGUAACACGUGAGUAACCUGCCCUUGACUUUGGGAUAACUUCAGGAAACUGGGGCUAAUACCGGAUAGGAGCUCCUGCUGCAUGGUGGGGGUUGGAAAGUUUCGGCGGUUGGGGAUGGACUCGCGGCUUAUCAGCUUGUUGGUGGGGUAGUGGCUUACCAAGGCUUUGACGGGUAGCCGGCCUGAGAGGGUGACCGGCCAAAUUGGGGCUGGGGUACGGCCCAGACUCCUACGGGAGGCAGCAGUGGGGAAUAUUGCACAAUGGGCGGAAGCCUGAUGCAGCAACGCCGCGUGCGGGAAGACGGCCUUCGGGGUGGAAACCGCUUUCGCCUGUGACGAAGCGUGAGUGACGGUAAUGGGUAAAGAAGCACCGGCUAACUACGUG
rnacentral:rRNA from 1 species